GGAAGUCGUUCAUACAAUAGCAAGACCGAGAAUGGAGGUGCGAGAAGCGCUGAUAACUCUUGAGAUUUGAAUGAGAUGGGGUCAGAUGGAGGGGAGGAACUUGAUCGACUCAGAUGACCAAUAGAGGAAUUGUUCAUUACAUUCUGAUUCUGACUGCGAUUCUGAUUAGGAGCCUGAGCUGCCUCGGCGCAAGAGAGCCCGAAUUAUGCCCACUGUGCAGGCACGUUGCCUGCUGACAAUGCUCCGAGUAGAUUAUCAGCACAUAAUGGAAUCCCAGUGUAGUCAGGCCCUCACUUUACGCAAAAGACAAAAUCGACAGAGCAUUCGACAGCUUUCAUUGUUUAUGUAACAUGGAGAUGUUGCAGCACAUCAAGGACUGUACUGUAGCUGAGGCGCACAGAGCGAAAGGAGACAACACGUGGGACAUGUCUGUGGAUGAGCUGGAAGCGUUCAUUGCGCUCCUGUAUGUCCGGGGACUGUACGGAGGAAAGAACACGAGUUUGGAGAGCCUCUGGUCAGACAGGUAUGGGAUCACUUUCUUCCGAGAUACCUUGCCAUGGAACCGCUUCAGAGAGAUCAUGCGAUACCUGCAUGUUGACGCAAGAGAGACCAGACGCAUGCGCCUGGAUACUGACAAAUUGAGAAUCAAGUUUGGGACGCGUUUGUACAGAGAUGUUACCUCUUACAAGCCAGGAGUGAACAUCACCGUUGUGGAGCACUGGUUCCCCACGAAAACGAAAUGUCGCUUUACGUAGUACAUCCCCUAAAAGCAAGACAAGUGGGGCACGAAGUUUCAGUUGGCAGCUGACAUCGACAGCAAGUACUUGCUGAAUGUCUUUCCGUAUUUGGGGAAAGGUGAAUCUCAGCAGCCUGAACAUAUGGUUAUGCGACUCAUGGAACCUUACCUCCGUGAGGGGAGAAAUGUCAACAUGGACGAUGUCUUCACCUCACUGCCAUUGGUUAACAAGUUGAUUGACAAGAACACAAGCCUGGUCGGGGCGGUGAAUAAGACGAGACUGGAGCUGCCUCCAUCUGCAUGUAACCAGUCACAAGCAGAGCUGUUCUCCACAACAGUGCAGAAGCACGACAAAGCAACACUUACGGUGUACAGAGAGAAGCCUAGAAAAAACUUCUGUAUCCUGAGUACUAAUCAUCUGACAGUUGCCAUUGGCGGUGACACAAAGAGAAAACAGAGACCCUGGCGCACUAUAACAGAAGAAAUGUUGGUGUGGAUAAGAUGGCCAGACAGUUCACGGUGAAAUGGGGUACUCGUCGCUGGCCUGUUGCCGUAUUCUACAACCUGUUUGACCUGGCUGCUAUCAACGCGCACGUUUUGUUCACCCAGUGCACCAGUAAGACAACCCCGAGGAGAGAUUUCAUCAUGGAUCUGGCAUGGGAGCUUCGUGAGAACCACACGAGCGCCAAGACGAAGGCAGCUGCAGCCGCCAAGGAGGCAGCCAAGGCCGCACCGCCUCCUUCCCGGGCACCCAUCCAGCUCCCUAAUUGGAAGAGAACACAGUGCCAGGUGAAGCCGCAGUGUGCACGGAACCAGGCCCAUGAAAGCUGUGCACAGUGUCACCGAUUUGUUUGUGGGUCUUGCACCCACAAAUGUUCGAAGCUGUGCACUGACUGUGGAUCAGAGCAAUAGAGGAGAGGAGGAAGAGACUAAUUAAUGCAUAAGACUGAAGGCGAGGGCACAAUACCGUACUUGUUUCAUGUCAUGGAUAUUUUCAACGAAUAUUACCGUGUCUUUAAUGGUUCACAUGUGUUUUGCACUCUUUAUAUAAGUUGGCGCUUCUGUGAAUGCAUAAAUCCCGAGUGGCACAGCGGUCUAAGGCACUGCGUCUCAGCGCAAGAGGCGUCACUACAGUCCCUGGUUAUAAGCCAGGCUUGUAUCACAUCCGGCCAUGAUUGGGAGUUCCAUAGGGCGUCGCACAAUUGGCCCAGCGUUGUCCGGAUAUGGCUGGGGUAGGCUUUCAUUGUAAAUAAGAAUUUGUUCUUAACUGACUUGCCUAGUUAAAUAAAAAUCAGUUGACCGUG